GGCGAUCAGAUACCGCCCUAGUUCUGACCGUAAACGAUGCCAACUAGCGAUCCGCCAGUCGACUCAUCGCUCUGGUGGGGAGCUUCCCGGAAACGAAAGUCUUCCGGUUCCGGGGGAAGUAUGGUUGCAAAGCUGAAACUUAAAGGAAUUGACGGAAGGGCACCACCAGGAGUGGAGCCUGCGGCUUAAUUUGACUCAACACGGGGAAACUCACCCGGCCCGGACACCGUAAGGAUUGACAGAUUGAUAGCUUUUUCAUGAUUCGGUGGAUGGUGGUGCAUGGCCGUUCUUAGUUCGUGGAGCGAUUUGUCUGGUUUAUUCCGAUAAUGAGCGAGACUCUGGCCUACUAAAUAGUUGACGCAUUGCCACUGUGCGCACAACUUCUUAGAGGGAUUUUCGGUGUUUUCAACCGCACGAAAUUGAGCAAUAACAGGUCUGUGAUGCCCUUAGAUGUCCGGGGCUGCACGCGCGCUACACUGGCAAACGCAACGUGCCUGUCCUGCCCCGAAAGGAGCGGGUAAACCCCUGAAAUUUUGCCGUGAUUGGGAUCGGACAUUGCAACUAUUGUCCGUGAACGAGGAAUUCCUUGUAGGGGCGAGUCAUCAACUCGUCCCGAAUACGUCCCUGCCCUUGUA
rnacentral:rRNA from 1 species